rnacentral:RNase_P_RNA from 1 species
AAAACGAAUUUAAAAAAUGAUUGCAGACUAAAAAUCUGAGGAAAGUCCGGGCUCCUAAAAGGUAAGAAUUGCUGGGUAAUUCCCAGUGCGAGAAAUCGUGAGGAUAGUGCCACAGAAAAACACCGCUUAAAUUUUUUUAAGUAAGGGUGCAAAGGCUUGGUUAAAGCAAACCAGUUAGAUUGAAAAAUCUUUACUUAGUAAACCCCAUUCAGGAGCAAAGGAAAAACGAAAGUAAUUAACCUUUUUUCUUUCAAUUAUUUAAAUUUUUACUGCUAGAAAAAUUUAGUAAUAAAUUUUGAAGACAGAUAAUCAUUAAUAUAUCAAAACAAAACCCGGCUUAAAAUUAAAUUCGUUU